GCCUACGGGGCGCAGCAGUGAGGAAUAUUGGUCAAUGGGCGGAAGCCUGAACCAGCCAAGUCGCGUGAGGGAAUAAGGCCCUACGGGUCGUAAACCUCUUUUGCCGGGGAGCAAGGGCGGGGACGUGUCCCGGCCCGGAGAGUACCCGGAGAAAAAGCAUCGGCUAACUCCGUGUCAGCAGCCGCGGUAAUACGGAGGAUGCGAGCGUUAUCCGGAUUUAUUGGGUUUAAAGGGUGCGUAGGCGGGCUUUUAAGUCAGCGGUAAAAAUUCGGGGCUCAACCCCGUCAGGCCGUUGAAACUGGGGG
rnacentral:rRNA from 1 species